UAAAUUGAUUUUCCCGAGUUUUUGAGCGACAUGCAAACGUUGAAAUUAUGGUAUUACAAAUGGUUACAAAAUAUAUGUAUGAAAUAUGGUUACAAAUAACAAUAAUUAUCGAUAGGAAUGUUUUUCGACUUCGAUAUUUACAUUGGCGGUCCCGGGGUAACGCACGACCUAUCGUUGUUGACGUUGUCGUUGUAGAUUAGAUUUAAAAUAACAAGUUCCCCGAACAUUACCAGAAAUAAUAAUAAUGAGGUUUCGUAGACGA